AUGCUUUGACUACACACAGUCCUUCGCCAGAUGAGACCAGUGUCCCGGGCACUGGCUCCUCAUCUCACUCGGGCCUAUGCCAAAGAUGUAAAAUUUGGUGCGGAUGCUCGAGCCUUAAUGCUUCAAUGCUUAAUGCUGAUGCUGUAGCUGUUACAAUGGGGCCAAAGGGAAGAACUGUGAUUAUUGAACAGAGUUGGGGAAGUCCCAAAGUAACAAACGAUGGGGUCACUGUUGCAAAGUCAAUUGAUGUAAAGGAGAAAUCCAAAACUAUUGGAGCUAAACUUGUUCAGGAUGUUGCCAAUAACACAAAGAGGCUGGGGAUGGUACCAACACUGCCACCAUUCUUGCAUGAUCUAUUGCCAAGGAGGGCUUUGAGAAGAUCAGCAAAGGGGCUAACCCAGUGGAAAUCUGGAGAGGUGUGAUGUUGGCUGUCGAUGCUGUCAUUGCUGAACUUAAGAAACAAUCUAAACCUGUGACAACCCCUGAAGAAAUUGCUCAGGUUGCUACAAUUUCUGAAAAUGGAGACAAAGACAUUGGGAACAUCAUUUCUGAUGCAAUGAAAAAGGUUGGAAGAAAGGGUGUCAUCACAGUGAAAGAUGGAAAAACCCUGAAUGAUGAGCUAGAAAUUAUUGAANGCAUGAAGUUUGAUAGAGGAUAUAUUUCCCCAUAUUUUAUUAACACAUCAAAAGGUCAAAAGUGUGAAUUCCAAGAUGCCUAUGUCUUGUUGAGUGAAAAGAAAAUUUCCAGUGUUCAGUCCAUUGUACCUGCUCUUGAAAUUGCUAAUGCUCAUUGGAAGCCCUUGCUCAUAAUCGCCGAAGAUGUUGACGGAGAAGCUCUAAGCACGCUGGUUUUGAACAGGCUAAAAGUUGGUCUUCAGGUUGUAGCUGUCAAAGCUCCAGGAUUUGGGGACAAUAGGAAGAACCAGCUUAAAGAUAUGGCUAUUGCUACUGGUGGUGAGGUGUUUGGAGAAGAGGGGUUGAAUCUAAAUCUUGAAGAUGUUCAAGCUCAUGACUUNGGAAAAGUUGGGGAGGUCAUUGUCACCAAAGAUGAUGCCAUGCUUUUGAAAGGAAAAGGUGACAAAGAAUACCAUUCUUCCGAAGGCCGGAAAUCACAAACUCCAGGUGGAAAACUGGAAACAGCAGCCACUGCACUGGCAGCCAACUUGAAGAAGAUUGCAUCACAGGGGACUGCAGACAAGAAGUCGGCUGUAGGCAAGGAAGAAGGAGCCUAA